UAUCUCCUCUGGGGCUGGCCUUUAAUCCUGAGAGGUUGCAAGUGCAAUGCCAUCCGAGGAUGGAUGAGGACGAAGUGGCAUCUAAUUUAAGAUUUCUUGAGAUUCGUCGUAGUCAGAGGGCACCAUUUGUAACCAACUCUAGCCGCUUGAUGGAGCGGAUUCCUAGUAUGUGUCAACAGAGGGAGGCCGGAGAUGAUGAAGCGGGACGUGGUAUUUACUUUGAACAAACUAUGCAGAUGGAACCAAACACCAUGC